rnacentral:tRNA from 1 species
GGGGGUGUAGCACAGAUGGGAGUGCGCACGGUUCGCAUCCGUGAGGUCAGCGGUUCGAUCCCGCUCAUCUCCACCA